rnacentral:lncRNA from 1 species
GGGUCUUGCCACUUGCUCCUGAAGGCAGCAGGGCGACAUUGCAAGGGGGAAGGAAAGCAACUGAACCCGACACGUCCUCAGGCUUCAGUCACUUGUUUUGGAAGUGGGGACUGUGAGGUGUUAGUGGUGGGACGUGGAGCAGUCGAGAAAGCCAAGGUUUUAAUUGUUGCUCCUGAACCCGUGGCUCUUUUUGCUCCCGCAGAACUCACUCACCGUCGUGGUGCCUCAGUGUCCAAGCUGAACCCCAGGGCUGGCAGCGCUCGCAGGGGACUGCAAAGCCCCUUCCACCGAGCGCAAUGCUCGGUGGCCCUCGGAGCAGCGAGUGCACAUCUGGUUCGAUGUGCGUCAAGGUUUAGCAGGAUGUGUCUUGCUUUCGGUGGGCAUCCUUCCAGAAAGAAGUUAAAAUGCAAACUGCAUGAAACGUGUUAUGUGACUGCAACAGACUACUACUAAUACUGACAUUCCACCAGGCAGAGGUAACACAGAUCAACUAAAGCACACUUUCCUUCCAACGUGCUGCUUAGCUGAAAUGGGUGCGUACAUUUUGUAUAUUUUUUUCUUCGAUUUCUGUCUUUAAAUAAUUUUUCAAUUUGCAAGUUUUAAUUUUUUAUAAGUGUAACCACUUGUGCUUGGCAAAUAGAAGGCUGGAUGAAGUUUGCUGCAAGCAUAUUCCUAACUGACUCACAAUAAAUUAUAUAACUCAGAAAAUAGUUUUUGGACC